UACGAAGGGGGCUAGCGUUGCUCGGAAUUACUGGGCGUAAAGCGUGCGCAGGCGGCUAUGCAAGACAGAUGUGAAAUCCCCGGGCUUAACCUGGGAACUGCAUUUGUGACUGCAUGGCUAGAGUACGGUAGAGGGGGAUGGAAUUCCGCGUGUAGCAGUGAAAUGCGUAGAUAUGCGGAGGAACACCGAUGGCGAAGGCAAUCCCCUGGACCUGUACUGACGCUCAUGCACGAAAGCGUGGGGAGCAAACAGG
rnacentral:rRNA from 1 species